rnacentral:rRNA from 1 species
UACGAGGGGGCAAGUGUUGUUCGGAAUCACUGGGCGUAAAGGGAGCGUAGGCGGAUGUUUAAGUCGGGUGUUUAAACCGGGGCCCAACCCCGGAGCGGCACCGAAACUGGGCAUCUUGAAUAGGUCAGAGGCUGGUGGAAUUGGAGGUGUAGCGGUGGAAUGCGUAGAGAUCUCCAAGAACACCUAUUGCGAAGGCAGCCAGCUGGGACCAUAUUGACGCUGAGGCUCGAAAGCAUGGGGAGCAAACAGG